rnacentral:rRNA from 1 species
AUUGAACGCUGGCGGCAGGCCUAACACAUGCAAGCCGGACAGUAGCACAGAGGAGCUUGCUCCUCGGGUGACGAGUGGCGGACGGGUAAGUAAUGUCUGGGGAUCUGCCCGAUAGAGGGGGAUAACCACUGGAAACGGUGGCUAAUACCGCAUAACGUCGCAAGACCAUAGAGGGGGACCUUCGGGCCUCUCACUAUCGGAUGAACCCAGAUGGGAUUAGCUAGUAGGCGGGGUAACGGCCCACCUAGGCGACGAUCCCUAGCUGGUCUGAGGGGAGGAACAGCGCCACUGGAACUGGGACACGGUCCAGACUCCUACGGGAGGCAGCAGUGGGGAAUAUUGCACAAUGGGCGCAAGCCUGAUGCAGCCAUGCCGCGUGUAUGAAGAAGGCCUUCGGGUUGUAAAGUACUUUCAGCGGGGAGGAAGGCGAUGUGGUUAAUAACCGCGUCGAUUGACGUUACCCGCAGAAGAAGCACCGGCUAACUCCGUGCCAGCCGCCGCCGUAA